rnacentral:rRNA from 1 species
AGUGGCGAACGGGUGAGUAAUGCAUCGGAACGUGCCCGGUCGUGGGGGAUAACGCAGCGAAAGCUGCGCUAAUACCGCAUACGAUCUGAGGAUGAAAGCGGGGGACCGUAAGGCCUCGCGCGAUCGGAGCGGCCGAUGUCAGAUUAGGUAGUUGGUGGGGUAAAGGCUCACCAAGCCGACGAUCUGUAGCUGGUCUGAGAGGACGACCAGCCACACUGGGACUGAGACACGGCCCAGACUCCUACGGGAGGCAGCAGUGGGGAAUUUUGGACAAUGGGCGCAAGCCUGAUCCAGCAAUGCCGCGUGCAGGAAGAAGGCCUUCGGGUUGUAAACUGCUUUUGUACGGAGCGAAAAGGUCUUCCCUAAUACGGGAGGCUGAUGACGGUACCGUAAGAAUAAGCACCGGCUAACUACGUGCCAGCAGCCGCGGUAAUACGUAGGGUGCGAGCGUUAAUCGGAAUUACUGGGCGUAAAGCGUGCGCAGGCGGUUUUGUAAGACAGGCGUGAAAUCCCCGGGCUCAACCUGGGAAUGGCGCUUGUGACUGCAAAGCUGGAGUGCGGCAGAGGGGGAUGGAAUUCCGCGUGUAGCAGUGAAAUGCGUAGAUAUGCGGAGGAACACCGAUGGCGAAGGCAAUCCCCUGGGCCUGCACUGACGCUCAUGCACGAAAGCGUGGGGAGCAAGCAGGAUUAGAUACCCUGG